AUGGCGAGACGCCCCUUCCAGAAACUGGCUUUUCGUUAUUAUGGGCCGUAUCAAAUUGAAGAGAAGGUUGGUGCUGUGGCGUAUCGCCUUAAGCUUCCGGCCACGAGUCAGAUCCACCCGAUGGUGCAUGUUUCUCAGCUGAAGCAUGCAGUGGGAGUUGAUAUCACAGUGGAAGCUGAGUUGCCACCAGACAUGGCGGUCCUACAAGCGGAGCACGUGCCACUGAAUGUGCUGGCUAGCAAGGAAGUGUCAACACGCACAGGUAAACGCUCGCGAGUUCUCAUUCAUUGGUCUGACUUGCCAGGAUCCUUGGCUACAUGGGAAGAUCAGGACGACCUCUGGCGCCGUUUUCGUUCAUCAUUGGCUUGGGGGCAAGCCGCAACCCAAGGAGGGGAGAAUGUCAUGACCCAAGGGUGUGUCGCGAAGGACGCGGGGAACCAGGAGGCUGCCAGUGGGACCGAUCGUCAGGGACCCAAUGACGAGAAGUAG
rnacentral:rRNA from 1 species